UACAGAGGGUGCGAGCGUUGUCCGGAAUUACUGGGCGUAAAGCGCGCGCAGGCGGCUUUCUAAGUCCAUCGGUCAAAUGCCGGGGCUCAACCCCGUGCCCGCCGAGGAUACUGGGAGGCUGGAGACACGUAGAGGCAAGCGGAAUUCCGGGUGUAGCGGUGGAAUGCGUAGAGAUCCGGAAGAACACCGGAGGCGAAGGCGGCUUGCUGGGCUUGGUCUGACGCUGAGGCGCGAAAGCGUGGGGAGCGAACAGG
rnacentral:rRNA from 1 species